rnacentral:rRNA from 1 species
UACGUAGGGCGCAAGCGUUGUCCGGAUUUAUUGGGCGUAAAGAGCUCGUAGGCGGUUGGGUAAGUCGGGUGUGAAAACUCCAGGCUCAACUUGGAGAUGCCACCCGAUACUGCUCUGACUUGAGUUCGGUAGGGGAGUGGGGAAUUCCUGGUGUAGCGGUGAAAUGCGCAGAUAUCAGGAGGAACACCAAUGGCGAAGGCAGCUCGCUGGGACGUGACUGACGCUGAGACGCGAAAGCGUGGGGAGCAAACAGG